ACGUUCCAUCCUCCAAUCUGAAGGCCCCAGUGCCCUCUACCGCGGUAUAGCAGCUAUGGGUCUCGGCGCGGGUCCUGCCCAUGCGGUGUAUUUCUCAGUUUACGAAGUAUGUAAGAAAUAUUUCUCUGGUGACAAUCCAAACAAUUCAAUAGUUCACGCUGUUUCUGGGGUUUGUGCUACGGUGUCCAGUGAUGCUGUAUUUACGCCGAUGGAUAUGGUGAAGCAGAGAUUACAAUUGGGUAAUAAUACUUACAAGGGGGUAUGGGAUUGUGUGAAGAGGGUUUUGAGAGAAGAGGGUUUUGGUGCGUUUUAUGCAUCUUAUAGGACUACUGUUUUGAUGAAUGCGCCGUUUACGGCGGUGCAUUUUGCAACUUAUGAGGCUACAAAAAGAGGGGUGAUGGAGAUUUCGCCUGAGAGUGCUAAUGAUGAGCGGUUGGUUGUUCAUGCUACUGCUGGAGCUGCUGCUGGAGCACUAGCUGCUGCUGUCACUACUCCGCUGGAUGUAGUUAAAACUCAGUUGCAGUGUCAGGGUGUUUGUGGGUGUGACAGAUUUAAAAGUGGUUCAAUUGGUGAUGUGAUUCGAACAAUAGUGAAAAAGGAUGGGUACAGAGGGCUCAUGAGGGGUUGGAUUCCAAGGAUGCUUUUCCAUGCACCUGCUGCUGCAAUCUGCUGGUCUACAUAUGAAGCCUCGAAAGCAUUCUUUCAAGAGGUCAAUGGUAACAGUAACAGUGGCACUGUUACCUGAAUAACCUUGCAAAGAAAGGGCAUUUCAUAAUUUUCAGUUGCAUCACAAAUAAUUCUGUACAAGUAACAAGAAUCUAGCUUCACACAAGAGAUGGUAAGCAACGCACAAACAUCAACUUUCCAGUCUCACCCGUCUAUUAUUGGGCAUUAGUAGUCAAAUUGAUUGGUCAGAUAGAAGUAACUGUUCUGUAACUGUUCUGUACACAUUGUUGUCCGAUAAUCUUAUAAGCGCAUAAUGUUUUUGUUUAUGAAAUUGUGGGUUGCACAAAACCCCAUAUGAGUUCUGUCCAUAUUUUUUCUGUGGAAGAAAUUUUUGGCUUUAUGAUGAUGCAUUAUGCGCUUAUAAGAUUAUCUCAGUUAUUAUUUUCCUGGAUAUUUAAGGAUUAGUUGCUGUUCGUUUUUUUAGCAAAAACG
rnacentral:misc_RNA from 1 species